rnacentral:tRNA from 1 species
UCCUUGGUGGUCCAGUGCCCAAGACUCUGUGCUUCCGAUGCAGGGGGCCUGGGUUCAAUCCCUGGUCAGGGAA